rnacentral:tRNA from 1 species
GGCUCCAUGGUCAAGCGGUUAAGACAUCGCCCUUUCACGGCGGUAACGCGGGUUCAAUUCCCGCUGGAGUCA